rnacentral:lncRNA from 1 species
CGGGGGGCGAGAGUUGAGGGAUUUAUCACACGCACUGAAAAAUACUGUCGAGAAGGACGGAACCGGAAGGAGAAGUUGGGAGCUUGAAGUGGUCUCCAACGUAUUCCUUUUGAGUCUUGUAGUAAUAUUUUUUUUUCGGCCCCCGGGGCCUUGUAACGUACACCUUUGUUAAUCAAGAAUGAGAAGGAGAUUUUGUUACUUCGUCCGCACUUUGCGUCGAAUUGCUGCCUGCCGAACUUCUUUCAUUUACCAUUGUUAUUGUUGU